UUUGUACACACCGCCCGUCGCUACUACCGAUUGAAUGGUUUAGUGAGGCCUUCUGAUUGGCGCCGCGGCCCCGGCAACGGAGCCACGGGUUGUCGAAAAGUUGUUCAAACUUGAUCAUUUAGAGGAAGUAAAAGUCGUAACAAGGUUUCCGUAGGUGAACCUGCGGAAGGAUCAUUA
rnacentral:ncRNA from 1 species